AAUAGGGGCGGAUGUAGCCAAGUGGAUCAAGGCAGUGGAUUUGUGAA
rnacentral:tRNA from 1 species